rnacentral:misc_RNA from 1 species
AACGCACAUUGCGCCCUUUGGUAUUCCGAAGGGCAUGCCUGUUUGAGUGUCAUAUAGACUCACCUAUUCGGGUUUCCGAACUAGGUGCUUUGGACGUCUGCCGCCAUCUGGCUCGUCUUAAAUGUCUAAGUGGAAUGCGUAAUAAGUUUUCGCUCCCUCCACUCUAAUUACACUUUAGCUCUGACCUCAAAUCAGGUAGGACUACCCGCUGAACUUAA